GAUCUGAUAGCUCAGUUGGUAGAGCAUCUCCCUUUUAAGGAGAGGGUCCUGGGUUCGAGCCCCAGUCAGAUCACAA
rnacentral:tRNA from 3 species